AGAGGAAGGGCAAUGGGAACCGAGUGCGCAGUUCCUGGUCGUUUGCCGGUGUUCCGGGGGCCCAGCGGCUGUGGAUGGCAGAAGCCCAGAGUGGGACUGGUCAGCUGCAGGAGCAGAAGAAAGGUCUCCUGAUAGCUGUCAGCGCUUCAGUGGACAAAAUCAUCUCGCACUUUGGGGCUGCUAGGAACUUGGUUCAGAAAGCUCAACUGGGGGAUAGCCGGCUGAGUCCAGAUGUGGGGCAUCUGGUAUUGACCACGCUCUGCCCGGCUCUCCAUGCUCUGGUGGCUGAUGGGCUGAAGCCAUUCCGGAAGGACCUCAUUACCGGGCAGCGUAGGAGUAGCCCUUGGAGCGUGGUGGAGGCCUCUGUGAAACCAGGUUCCUGCACACAUUCCAUGGGAUCUCUGUACAGCCAGGUCAGCC
rnacentral:lncRNA from 1 species